rnacentral:lncRNA from 1 species
GUUAGUAAUAUAUAUCCACAGGGAUGAAUAAGGAUUAGAAGUGAGGUAUGCUAUGUCCCUAGCACAGGGCCUGGUACUAAAUAGUAAUUCAGUGAACACAGGUAGGUUUUGUUAUUUUUGCAUGAACUGACUGAGGUUCCGGGGGUGGAAGGACGCAAUGAAUGUCCUCUCUAUUUCAAUAGACCCACAACUCAUGGAGACCCUACUGUGUGCUGGGCUCUGCAUUAGGCCAUGGAAAUAAAAAGAGGGUUUAAUCCUGGCUCCUGUCCUCGAGGAGCUCACAGCCUACUGGAGAGAGAGAGACAUACCCGGAUAUUCUCAAUGUGUUGCAACAAAUGCUAAGCUGGAGACAUGGGCAUGAGAUCCCCUGGUAGAGAGAGACCAUUAAGCUUCAAGUGAUCAUGCAGAAGAGCUACCAGCCAGUUUCAGAUAAUGGCCCUGGUCAUUGAGAGGUCACACUGUCUUCAUUAGACAGAGAAGGGAGAGCGUUUUGUGAUCCUCAAUAGGAACAGAAAUAUCAGCAGUUUGUGGCAUUAAGCCCACAAAUUUCAGGAAGUUGGAUUCCAAACUCUAGGACAUGAGGUCCAAAUAAAGUUGAAGAGAUUUUCAGAAACUCAAAUUAUGCCCAUGAGAAACAGUUGAAUAACUGGGCACACUCAGCUUGGCAAAGGUCAAGUUUGAAAUGUUCCUGACUGCUAAUCUCUGAAGAGCUAUCUGGGAAAUGUCAGUUGUUACACAUGUGACCUUUGAAUGUUCAAUUAAAUGUAAGAUACAGAGAAGCAGGUCAGUAUUAAAUAAGGACAAGCAUUAAAAGAUGUAUUGAAGCAGGAACAUUAGAAAAAAACAAAUCUCUAAAAACUUGGAUAGUGUGAAUAAGCCGAUAGAAGCUACAGUACAGUUUGUUUUGCAAAACAGCAGCUAGCAGAGGUGAAUGUUGUGAACUGGUGGCUUUCUGGCGGAGUGGUGUCUUCCCCAAACCCCACAACCACAGUGGUGGAAAAUGGCAGUUCUGAGGGUCACAUACAGAGUUCAGGCCAGAAGAACAGCUGCAAAUGUAAACGGAAAAUCCAAGAAGUGGAGAGAUAUUUAGGAAGACCAAGACCCAAAUCCUUCGCUGACAGCAGAACUACACGUGGUGGGAGGUGGCGCAGGAGCCUGGUGAAAAGCAGGGGGAGAGCACAGGACACUACUCUUGAAACACAGAGCUCUGCCAGAAGAGAUCUGUGAGUCUGAAGCUUCUUAAAUUGAGCACAACCCCAAAUCAUGAACAGCUAUUUUUUGGUGUCUUAAAUUUUCUUGCUUAUUGUGCAAGUUCCCCCAAUCCCCGCCCCCAACACCAUAGUUGAGAAUGAAUGAAAACUUUUUGUUUAAGGAAAAGUAAAACACCUGGUGUUGCAGCUAGUGUAACUCUCCCUACGUGGUGUAUUUUAAUGAUACUGUGCAAUUAAAACUUAAUUUUAUGC